rnacentral:lncRNA from 1 species
AAAUCAGAAGCAUCAAAGAUCAUAUGGCAUGGAACUUAAAUUGCACAAGAUGAACAACCAAAUGUGUGACACAAAUUGUCACACCAUGCAAACACAUUCACAAAACAGAAAUGGUAAAUGAGAAAAAUACCAAACCAAGCCUAAAACAUCCAUCAAUGUGUCAAGAACAAUCAUGUAAAAUUUCAAGCAAUUUGGAUUAAAAUCAAGCAUUUCUCAAUAAGAUGAGCAACGCAAGGUCACCAAUGUACACAUGAUCAAAG